GGUAGUUUGGCCGAGUGGUCUAAGGCGCUGGAUUUUGACUCCAGGCUCGACCAAGGUGUGGGUUCGAAUCCCACCACUGCCA